AUUGAACGCUGGCGGCAGGCUUAACACAUGCAAGUCGAGCGGAGAGAGGUAGCUUGCUACUGAUCUUAGCGGCGGACGGGUGAGUAAUGCUUAGGAAUCUGCCUAUUAGUGGGGGACAACAUUUCGAAAGGAAUGCUAAUACCGCAUACGUCCUACGGGAGAAAGCAGGGGAUCUUCGGACCUUGCGCUAAUAGAUGAGCCUAAGUCGGAUUAGCUAGUUGGUGGGGUAAAGGCCUACCAAGGCGACGAUCUGUAGCGGGUCUGAGAGGAUGAUCCGCCACACUAGGACUUAAACACGGCCCAGACUCCUACGGGAGGCAGCAGUGGGGAAUAGUGGACAAUGGGCGGAAGCCUGAUCCAGCCAUGCCGCGUGUGUGAAGAAGGCCUUAUGGUUGUAAAGCACUUUAAGCGAGGAGGAGGCUACUUUAGUUAAUACCUAGAGAUAGUGGACGUUACUCGCAGAAUAAGCACCGGCUAACUCUGUGCCAGCAGCCGCAGUAA
rnacentral:rRNA from 1 species